AGUGGGAAACGAUGUGGGAAGGCCCAGACAGCCAGGAUGUUGGCUUAGAAGCAGCCAUCAUUUAAAGAAAGCGUAAUAGCUCACUGGUCGAGUCGGCCUGCGCGGAAGAUGUAACGGGGCUAAACCAUGCACCGAAGCUGCGGCAGCGACACUSAKGUGUUGUUGGGUAGGGGAGCGUUCUGUAAGCCUGCGAAGGUGGCCUGUGAGGGUUGCUGGAGGUAUCAGAAGUGCGAAUGCUGACAUAAGUAACGAUAAAGCGGGUGAAAAGCCCGCUCGCCGGAAGACCAAGGGUUCCUGUCCAACGUUAAUCGGGGCAGGGUGAGUCGACCCCUAAGGCGAG
rnacentral:rRNA from 1 species